rnacentral:tRNA from 1 species
GGGGAUAUGGCGGAAUGGUAGACGCUGCGGACUCAAAAUCCGUUGGUUUUAACGACCGUGAGGGUUCAAGUCCCUCUAUCCCCA